CCUACGGGUCGCACCAGUGGGGAAUAUUGGACAAUGGGCGCAAGCCUGAUCCAGCCAUGCCGCGUGAGUGAUGAAGGCCCUAGGGUUGUAAAGCUCUUUCACCGGUGAAAAUAAUGACGGUAACCGGAGAAGAAGCCCCGGCUAAUUUCGUGCCAGCAGCCGCGGUAAUACGAAGGGGGCUAGCGUUGUUCGGAUUUACUGGGCGCAAAGCGCACGUAGGCGGACUAUUAAGUCAGGGGUGAAAUCCCGGGGCUCAACCCCGGAACUGCCUUUGAUACUGGUAGUCUUGAGUUCGAGAGAGGUGAGUGGAAUUCCGAGUGUAGAGGUGAAAUUCGUAGAUAUUCGGAGGAACACCAGUGGCGAAGGCGGUUCACUGGCUCGAUACUGACGCUGAGGUGCGAAAGCGUGGGGAGCAAACAGGAUUAGAUACCCCUGUAGUC
rnacentral:rRNA from 1 species